rnacentral:rRNA from 1 species
GAUGAACGCUGGCGGCGUGCCUAAUACAUGCAAGUCGAGCGAACGGACGAGAAGCUUGCUUCUCUGAUGUUAGCGGCGGACGGGUGAGUAACACGUGGAUAACCUACCUAUAAGACUGGGAAAACUUGGGGAAACGGGAGCUAAUACCGGAUAAUAUUUUGAACCGCAGGGUUCAAAGGUGAAAGACGGUCUUGCGGUCACUAAUAGAUGGAUCCGCGCUGCAUUAGCUAGUUGGUAAGGUAACGGCUUACCAAGGCAACGAUGCAUAGCCGACCGAAGGGGGUGAUCGGCCACACUGGAGCUGGGACACGGUCCAGACUCCUACGGGAGGCAGCAGUAGGGAAUCUUCCGCAAUGGGCGAAAGCCUGACGGAGCAACGCCGCGUGAGUGAUGAAGGUCUUCGGAUCGUAAAACUCUGUUAUUAGGGAAGAACAUAUGUGUAAGUAACUGUGCACAUCUUGACGGUACCUAAUCAGAAAGCCACGGCUAACUACGUG